UACGUAGGGUGCGAGCGUUGUCCGGAAUUACUGGGCGUAAAGAGCUCGUAGGUGGUUUGUCGCGUUGUUCGUGAAAUGCCACAGCUUAACUGUGGGCGUGCGGGCGAUACGGGCAGACUGGAGUACUGCAGGGGAGACUGGAAUUCCUGGUGUAGCGGUGGAAUGCGCAGAUAUCAGGAGGAACACCGGUGGCGAAGGCGGGUCUCUGGGCAGUAACUGACGCUGAGGGGCGAAAGCGUGGGGAGCGAACAGG
rnacentral:rRNA from 1 species